rnacentral:rRNA from 1 species
UACGAAGGGGGCUAGCGUUGCUCGGAAUCACUGGGCGUAAAGCGCACGUAGGCGGACUCUUAAGUCGGUGGUGAAAUCCUGGAGCUCAACUCCAGAACUGCCUCCGAUACUGGGAGUCUUGAGUCCGGGAGAGGUGAGUGGAACUGCGAGUGUAGAGGUGAAAUUCGUAGAUAUUCGCAAGAACACCGGUGGCGAAGGCGGGUCUCUGGGCCGAUACUGACGCUGAGGAGCGAAAGCCAGGGGAGCAAACGGG